UGAGAGAGCGUGGGUGAGAGAGACAGGGUGCGAGAGAGAAAAAAAACAACACGGUUCCCAGCACGGCUCCCAAUACGGAGCCGGCUCCCGUCGGUCACUUGAAAGAUCCAGCUCGAAGAGCCGUUUCGUUCGCGAACGACACAUCACUAGCAACAAGUUGAGACACCUCCUGUCAAUUGACUGUCCUGCAGGAAUUUCUGGACUAUAGUCUUCAUCUUUGUGAGGCACCACUCUGGAUCCCUGUGCAUGUUUCUUGGAUCCAAACAUGCCAUGGCCCUGACCACUGGAAACUUCAAGGGGCUUUUCUCUUGCAGUUUCUUAACGAUGGUAACCAGGCCCUGCAUACACUCUUUUCGGAAGACGAGCACAGAAGGCUCCCCUACCCUGUUUCCUGGCUUGCUCUGAAGUGCCUGACAAAUAGAACCUAAACUAUAAACACAUGCUGUAAAUGGUAUAAAAAAUGACUGCCCUCUCAGUGAACUUGAGAAAAUAAGUUUCAAUAUAUAUAUUUGAACCUGGACUUGGACUUACGUGUUUCUGUAUGUGUUGCUUUGGUAUAGCUUCGUAGUUAGCUGGCGACUUGUUUUGCUCAUCUUUUUUACAUAAUGGCAGCUAAAGAUCCAGGGGGACCCAGCCGUAAAAGACAACUUCACGAGUGCUACGCAAGUUUCUGGAGGGGGGCGUUUCUUCGUAAAUGUUAAGAGGGGGGAGGUUAGAGGGGGGUGAGGGAGAGGUUGUAUGUGCACAUGCGCAUGCUAUGUUCAAAGUCGUAGGAAAUUAAAUCUCCUCUAAUGCCUUUAAAGUGCGGUGCUAAUCUGAAUUUAAUGGCGCAUCCUGAUUUGUCCUUUCCACAGGUGAAUGUCUUGGCAAUAUCCGAAUCGGGAAACAUCGACUUAAAUAUGUCAGAAAUUCCUUCAUUUGAGUUCAACGAGUGGUGAUUCACCGCUGUGUUGAGACACUAGAUAACCUCUGCGCACAGCGUUGGUGUGCCGCCCAAAGCCACCCUCAUGUCAGCAGACGAUGAGGCUGAGGUCGCAGUUGUAGCUGUGUUGGCUAGCUCAGGUGUCACGUUCCCUGGUGAUCAUGUUGGCGGUGGACCACAGAAAGAUGCCACAGACCGCUGCUGCCUGCGGCGAACCGCAGUCGUGUGGUGAGCACCCUGCAUAUGGGAUCUGACUGCAUUGCUGCCCAUAGGAACAGAGCAGGAGGGACAGAGAGAAAGAGAGCCAGGGGCAACAAAACCAGACAUCGAUAGAAAGGUAAAGAAAAUGAGUGACACCAGGAAAACGAGUAAAAUCUGGAACCAUUUCAAUUUGAUAUCAAGUUGAUAAUACAAAGGCAGAAUGUAGAGUCUGCAAGAAAAGAAUAUCCUACAGAGCCGGCUCCACAAACAACCUCCACAGGCAUCUGAGAACUGUCCACCCAUCAGUGCAAUGGGUUGAAUGUGGUAUUAAUGAAGGUGCCAGUGUGUCUACUGUUGCUGCUGCUGCUUCUGCUGCAGUAUCUACAGCAUCAUGUACUAUGCCACCACAGCCACCAAAACCUCCACCCAGAGCUCUAUGACACAGUUUUUGCAGAAGUCUGUGACCACAGCACGACAGAACUCAACUGAUGAAGAACUGGCAAAAAUGACUGCCCUUGAUUUUCAACCAUUGUCAGUUGUGGAUGAUAAAGGAUUCAGGAAGUUUGUUCAUGCACUAAAUCCAAUGUACGCAAUUCCAAGCAGGAAAAUACUUUCCCAAAAAAUCAUCCCAGGUCUGUAUGACACAGAACAUACAUUACUGCAAGAGAGGGUUAAAAAAGCCACAGCAGUCUGUCUAAUAACUGACAGCUGGACAUCCCAAACCAAUACAUCCUUCUUGUCAGUUACGUGUCACUUUAUUGAAAAAUUUAAAAUGGUGUCCUGUCUUCUGGAUUGUUUUGAGUUCAGCGACAGACACACUGCUGACAACUUAGCAGAAGAGCUGCUCAAAGUGGCAAAAGAGUGGGAUGUGGAAAACAAAGUGAUUUGCUGUGUUUUGUGUUGUUUCACUUUAAAUUUGUUUAAAAGGAAAAAGCUGAAUAUUUAAAUAGUUGAAAAUUGAGUUGUAAAUAGUUGUUCUUUGUAUUUUAUAAUUUAUUUGUUUUACAUUUUUGUGGAGUCAGCUGCACAGUAGUGCAGUGGUUAGCACUUUUGCCUUGCAGCAAGAACAUCCCAGUUUGAAUCCCGGGGUGGGCCUGGGAUCUUUCUGCAUGGAGUUUGCAUGUUCUCCCUGUGCAUGCGUGGGUUUUCUGCGGGCACUCCGGCUUCCUCCCACAGUCCAAAAAUAUGCUGAGGUUAAUUGAUUACUCUAAAUUGCCCGUAGGUGUGAAUGUGAGUGUGAUUGUUUGUCUGUAUAUGUAGCCCUGUGACAGACUGGUGACCUGUCCAGGGUGUCCCCAGCCCAAGUUAGCUGGGAUAGGUUCCAGCACCCCCCGCAACCCCAGUGAGGAUAAAGCGGUGUAUAGAGAAUGGAUGGAUUUUUGUGGAGUGAAUAAAAAAGCAUAUGUAUAUAUAUAUAUGUGUGUGUGUAUAUAUAAUAAACAUAUAUAAAUUAAAAAAACACAAUCUUUUACAUUAGUAAUUCAUUUUGUGCAUAAUUUUAUAUUGUUGUUGAUAAUAAAUUAAUUAAAGCAACAAAACAACCCGAAGAGCCGUUUGGGAGCCGAAAGAGCCGGCUCUUUUUACUGAGCCGAGCCAAAAGAGCCGGCUCGCUAAAAAGAGCCGGAUUUCCCAUCACUAGUUUCUAGCCCAUUUUUGGGGUGCUCAAGCACCCCUAAAUUGAAUCCCAGCACCCCUAUGAUUUGAGAGAUUUUUUUGUAUUGCAUGUCCUUUUUUUAACAAACCAGAAAAGUGUAAAAAUCAUACAGUACUUGGUUGAUACAUAAUGUUUUAACAACAAAAAUACAGUACUCCUCUCCCCCUAUCUUGCCUCAAAAAUGGUUUGAUCCGGUCCAACUUUCCCGACUCGGGCUCUGAGCCUUUACCUGCAGAACGAAGCUGCCUCCCACAUAAGCACAUGUUCCGUAACAGAGAGACAGCCUCAUCAUGGACAUAAGACUUUUUUUUUUUUUUGAGGAGCCAGGUUCAGUCCAAACAGGGAGAGAUGAAAAAGGGGGAGAGGAGACUGCGCAAGGUCAGGAAGAACCAGUGGAACUGAAAGCUCGGGACUCAGCUGAGGACAGCGUGAUGUGACAAAGCACUAAACGGCAGCUGAUAAACUGUGACACCUGUCUGUGGUGAAGGAAAGCACACAGUGAGAUUUGCCAUUAAAAUCCUAAUCUAGCCUUUCUCCAUAUCCAUUAUAAUUUAUAAUUAAUGAAGUUACUUGUGUUGCUCUAUGCAGAAAUGCUCUGUCUCUUGUUGUCUGAGGCUGCAGGUUUGCAAUAAACUAUGAAGAAAUAAUCCUAAACUGCUAAAAAGUACUAGUGCAUCUCCAAAAUUUAGAAAAUUGUGAAAAGCUAUU